rnacentral:rRNA from 1 species
UACGUAGGGGUCGAGCGUUGUCCGGAGUUACUGGGCGUAAAGCGUGCGCAGGCGGCUCAUCGCGCUCGGCGUGAAAGCCCCCGGCUCAACCGGGGAGGGUCGUCGAGGACGGAUGGGCUUGAGGGUAUCAGGGGUUGGUGGAAUUCCCGGUGUAGUGGUGAAAUGCGCAGAUAUCGGGAGGAACACCAAUGGCGAAGGCAGCUCGCUGGGACGUUACUGACGCUGAGACGCGAAAGCGUGGGGAGCAAACAGG